GGGGACAGGUGAGGGGUUGCUGAGGGAUAGGAGAACAGGAGAGAGCUGGCUGAGGGGAGUUUGGGACAGAGGGUUUGUGGAAGCCCCGUGUGGCAACACUGAGGGCUGAGUGGGGCCUGAGGGAGAAGAUGGUGAGGGGCUGCUGCUGAGGCCAUUUGAGCUCAGACAGCAUUUUGAGGGGCAGCAGGCCUGAGGGAGAAUGAGGAAAGGUGUGGGAGGGAGGCAAGAGAGGUGAGGGGCUCAGCAAGGGGAUACAUGGGGCCAGGACGUGUGUAGGGGAGAGGCCUGACACGGGUGGGAGCUUUUUGAGGGCAAUGUGGCAGAGGAUAGUGGGUUUGGGGCAGGCUGGCUGUGGUGAGGCCAUGGAGCCAAGUGGAGCUUCCUCUUUGGCCAGGAGCAGCUCAUCUACAGGCAGUGACAAUCCCAGGAGGUAGUAGGUGACUGCUCUAGUGCAGCUGCCCUCACCAAAUGGGUGUAUUUCAGCUGCCCUUGGCCAAGCUGUAUCUGGGUUGUGGCCAGAAGAGGGAAAAAAAAUCUCAUGGGUUGAGCACAUGGUCUCCUAAACUGUACCCUUGGCUCACAGUGGUGGGUGUUGAACUUGGUAGGUUGUUGAGCCUUUGUGUGCUUUGGUAUCUCCAUCUACGAAGCAGAGAUAACAGUUGGCUUCAUGCAGGGAUUAAUUAUCGCAUCUUGUAGUCACGUAUUUGUUUAUUUGUUUUUACUAUAGAUUACAGCUGGAGGAAUUCUAAACAGUCCACUUCUCCUUGUCAUGGUGUUUGAGCGCAUUGUGCUCCUGUCUGAACAGAGGAAAUCACUGAGGUUUUCCCUCACAGCUGAGCCAGCAGAAGAGAGUGUUCUGUGCCUGACCCUGCUGGGUUAGUGCUGCUGUCCCAGCUCAGACCCCAGCCUGACAGUGCUGUGACUACCCUGGGCUGGCUGGUGCAGGGAUGUGUAUUUGCCUCAGCUGACCAUGGUACAGGGAAGUAGCCUCUGGAAGAGUUUGCUGGAGAGGAUGAGUGGAACUGCUGGACAAGAGUUGGUGGAACUCCCUGGGAACUCCUAGAUUCCAUAUCAGCAUGGUGGCUUUUCCAGUGAUCUGCCAUGAACAGCUCUCCUGUUGACCCUAUCUAGACCUUGAUCUCUUGUUUUACAGAUUUUAUAGGUAAAACAACAUUUUACAUUGUUGUAAACUUGCUUCCAGGCACUGAUUCUUAUAACCCCUAAGACAAUUGUGAAACUGUGGCCUUGCUCUUCAGCAAUUCUGCAGUCACCUAUCUCUGAGACAUUGUAUUUCACCCUAGAAUAAGAUUCUAGACCAAAAAAAGAGUUAGACUGCAUACAGAUUAACAAAUGUGUUGCUAGUAUCUCUGGCUACUGCAGCAUGACUCACCCAUCAGUGCUUGUCAGAGGCUGCCGUGACCUCAUUGAAAGCUUCAACAUCUCUUAUGUGAAGGCAGGUUGUAAUCCAGUGUGGGAAUCCUAAAUAGGUGGGGAAUGAAGUUCUGAGAUUGUGAUAAUGCAUACAUCAUAAACAUCUCCCUGGAAAUCAAUUAUGCCCUCACCAGGAAUAUUCUUACAGGUUUCUGAGGAUCUCUUGGUGCUAAGCCUGCCUUUCCCUGCUUUCAUUAAAAAAAAAACCACCUGUAUUAUUCAAGACAGCAACAGAAAUCAAUGCUGGUAGGAAAAUUUAAGAGUGAAUGGGACAUGUCAGGGAGGAGAUGCUCUGUUAUUUGCAAGGACAAGAAAGAGCUGGUGGUUCCUUUUUAUUUAUCACAGCACCUACAGACUUUAUUUUUUUCUUAUGUCAGUAAUGGGGCUUGUGGUACGCAGACAUCUGCUGCUGCUCAAACUGAAAGUGAAAUCCCUGGCUGUUGGUCUGGUUGCUGUCCUAAGGACACGUGAAUGUCUGCUCCUGUUUGGCUGUAUGUAAUUUCUGUAUGUGGCAAAGCUGUCUGCGCCAGCCUGGAAGCUUUGUCCAUAAGCAGCAACAGUUACUGUCUUGGUUUCUCAAAGCUGCAGCUCCUCACUGGUUCCACAGAGCUGCUUUGUCACAGAGUGUCAGUAACUUUGUAGAAGUCACUGCAUCCUCUGCUGUGCUUGGGAUCAAUCUGGCAUCUGUCUGAAUGUAUGUAUGUCCCUCCUGCACAAACUUACCUGGUGAGUCUGUUCCCUUACCCUUUGCCAUAGGUACAUGGUAGUAUGACUCCUGUAUUUCUUAACAGUUUUUAAUCUUGAGUGUGGGACAGGGAUUGUUAUUAUUUUGGGAUAGGGGAAAAGGGCAAAAAUCCUGAGUAGAUACAUUUUACAUUCUGGUCCUUCUUUAAGGAAGGUGUAGCAGGUCACAGAAUCAAUGCAUGCAUAUCAUUUGUAAGGAAAAAAUAGGUGACUUUAGGCCUUUUUAUCCAUGAUUCUUUACCACAGAGAUCAGACAGGUGCUAUAUCUCCUUAGCUGUUUGUGAAUCCAUGGGGAAAUAAGUUGAUGGGUCUGCACAGUUUCUAGUACUGAGCACUGUGCAUGUGCACACAAAAAUACAUCUAGUUCUAAAAAAUGUCUCUGAUGUUCUUUGUGCAGAGACCAAGGCCUGAUGAUGUUUGCAGACUAGGCAUAUCUUUGCUGGAUGAUCUGAUGGAUUCACAUCAUGAUGUACUUGGGCAUAAGAGAUGGAAUCUCCAUAAAAGUGUUGUCCAUGCUGCAUUCAGCUGUGGGGAUGUUGCCUUAAAUGAUUGAUCUAGUGUUUGAAGUCCUAUUGCUUGAUUUACAUCUUGAUUUUUAGUAUCUUGGCAGACCUUUGUCUCACACAGUAAAGCAUACCUGGGGUUCUAGUAGAAUUCUGCCCUUAGGUCAAGCUCAACCUCAUUGCUCCUCCCUGCCUUCAGCUGGAAAUGGACAGACACCAUUUGUGACUGAAUAUCCUGAGUCACCGAUUCCCAGCUGGCAUGUGCGCUGCAGUUCCGUCUCUUCCUUUCCGACUGCACUCCCUAGAGGAGAUUGGGAAUAACUGCAGUCGUCAGCUCCAGCGUGGUGUGUGCUCUUGCCAGGAUCCACACAAUUGGUGGACAAUCCCUGUCUACGUCUAUGGGGUGAGCUGCAUCUGAUUUGUUACUGUAUGCCUGGUGUUUCCACACCGGAAAAUUGAACAUGUGUGGGAAUAUUUAAAAAAAAAAAUUCUUGAUAUUUUCUAGAAAAAUACCUACAUUGUGGAGGUGGUGAUAGAGUAUCUCCAUUAAAUAAUCAGUUGAGACAAAUGAUAAUGCCAGUAAUGCUCUCACAGUAAGAUUGUGUGAUAAUGGAUGAAAACUAAGAAUCUAGAGAGAUGAUAAAAGGUGAAGUAGUUACUCCCUACACUAGCAAAAUUCUGCUACCAGGAGCAUGAGUCCACCAUGCAGGAGCUGAUAGAUUAUCUGUUGUGUCAGACACUUGUGCUGUGUUUAUUAUCCUGCUUGUGCAGUGUCCCAAAGAAAGGCUGCUUAAGCUCAGCAGGGGAAUUAUGCAACAUGUUGCUAUGUUAUUCCAUCUGACCAAAACAUUUUCACUGUGUAAUGCUUGCUGCUAGUUUUGUGCAUAGCUCUGGGGAAAGCUGAAACACAAACCACUUCAUUGAGCUUUUUGAUCCAACAGGUCUUGACAUAUUGCUGCUGGACACAUCUCUGUGUCUGAUGUGAACUGUGACAGUUCCAUUCUGUCCUGCUAAAAUAACAGCAUAUUAAACAAUACUAUUCUGUCCAUGUAAUUUCCACCUAUUGGCUAAAAAGUUAAAUUCUUAUUAAGCUAGUUUCAAUUUACAUGUCAUAAGAUAUUAGUUAAUGGUCAGCUGAUUUUCCUGGCAUGAAGAUUGCAAAGUGUAUAACACAGAUUAGUGCUUGUGUGGGACCAAAUGAGUUAAACCAGCUCCUUCUGCUGAGAUACCCAGUGAAGUACAGCGAUGGUCUGCAUAUCAAAUCUGUUUGCAGCAGGUCACCAGUGUUUGCCUGGGACAGUUCAUCCUGUUAGCAGGCACUGAUCCGGCUGCAGAGGAGAUAUGUGGCUUGUGCUGACUCAUGAAAGCAGGUGCAAGUUGCAUCAGUGAAGUAAGGAGUGGCUCACCUUAGGAGCAGGAUAUAGGUUUUAGUGUAAGAACUGUUAACAAAUCACCUUUAGAAGAAAGUUGGGGGGGAAAAAAUACAGGAGAGACACUUUGAAAUCUGACUUGAUAAAUUCUGAUUCUUCUUGCUGCAUCAGGGGCUUGUUCCAAAUGGGGAAGGUGUGGAAUUGUUAACACCACUGAGGUGUCUUGGGAAAACGUGCACUGUAGCUGCAGACAGCAGUUUCUGGCACAUUUUCUGGGAGGGUUGAAUGACAGCUGUUCAUAAACUGUCAUAUAGUUACUCUCUUGUUCCUUCUUUAUAGAUCUGACUCAUCUCUCCCUGUCCUAAACACACCAGUUUGUUUGGGUUUUUUCUCUCCUCUCAUUUACCUCAUAUCUCAUAUCCUUCAAGAUUCCUUUUGUAUCUCUGGGCUUAAUUCUAUUAAAUCCAGUUCCCUUGACU